UCCCUGAUAGCUCAGUUGGUAAAGAAUCUGCCUGCAAUGCAGGAGACCCUGGUUCAAUUCCUGGGUGGGAAA
rnacentral:tRNA from 1 species